rnacentral:rRNA from 1 species
ACAUGCCUACAACAUAGUGUUAUUUCACCGGAUCCCAUUACAACUCCACAGUUAAGCGCGCUCAGGCUAAAGUAGUACUGGGAUGGGUGACCUCCCGAGAAGUCCUAGUAUUUUACAUGCC